UAUAUAUAUUUUUAUUUUUAUAUAAUUAUAAACUAAUAUUUUAAUUCUUAUAUUAAAUAUUUAUUAUAUAUAAUUAAAAUUUAUAAU
rnacentral:miRNA from 1 species